GACGAACCGAGCGAACGUUGUUCGGAAUCACUGGGCUUAAAGGGCGCGUAGGCGGGCUGUCAAGUCUGGGGUGAAAUCCCACGGCUCAACCGUGGAACUGCCUUAGAUACUGACGGCCUCGAGGGAGAUAGGGGCGAGCGGAACUGUGAGCGGAGCGGUGAAAUGCGUUGAUAUUCACAGGAACUCCGGUGGCGAAGGCGGCUCGCUGGAUCUUUUCUGACGCUGAGGCGCGAAAGCUAGGGGAGCAAACGGG
rnacentral:rRNA from 1 species